rnacentral:rRNA from 1 species
UACGAAGGUGACAAGCGUUAUUCGAAAUCACUGGGCUUAAAGGGUGCGUAGGCGGAAAUGUAAGUGUCUUGUGAAAUACCUUGGCUCAACCAAGGCAUUGCUCGGCAAACUGCAUUUCUUGAGGCAAGCAGGGGUGUGUGGAACUCUUGGUGGAGCGGUGGAAUGCGUAGAUAUCAAGAGGAACGCCGAAGGUGAAGACAGCACACUGGGCUUGUCCUGACGCUGAUGCACGAAAGCGUGGGGAGCAAACAGG